GACGAACGCUGGCGGCGUGCUUAACACAUGCAAGUCGAGCGAUGAAGCACCUUCGGGUGUGGAUUAGCGGCGAACGGGUGAGGAACACGUGAGGAAUCUGCCUUUCACUUCGGGAUAACUCCGGGAAACCGGGGCUAAUACCGGAUAUUUUCAACUGGCGGCAUCGCCGGUUGAAGAAAGUUUUUCGGUGAAAGAUGACCUCGCGGCCUAUCAGCUUGUUGGUGAGGUAAUGGCUCACCAAGGCGACGACGGGUAGCCGGCCUGAGAGGGCGACCGGCCACACUGGGACUGAGACACGGCCCAGACUCCUACGGGAGGCAGCAGUGGGGAAUAUUGGACAAUGGAGGAAACUCUGACCCAGCGACGCCGCGUGAGGGAUGAAGGCCUUCGGGUUGUAAACCUCUUUCAGCAGGGAAUAAGCGAAAGUGAAGGUACCUGCAGAAGAAGCACCGGCUAACUAUGUGCCAGCAGCCGCCGUAA
rnacentral:rRNA from 1 species